UAUAGCUCAGUGGCACAGCACCUGCCUGGCAAGCAUGAGGUCCUGAGUUCAAUUCCUGGUA
rnacentral:tRNA from 1 species